AGAUUGGCUACAAAAGGUUUAGAGGGUGAGAAAAGCCACUUUUCAGAAAGCUAGAGAUGAGAGUUUAUCUGAUCUCCCUUCAUUGAAAUACUUUCAGAGUAGUAAGCCAACCUCAUCAUAAAAGAUUGAGGCAUUUGAUCUAAAGACAAAAUAGAAAUGAGAUGAGGUCCUCCAUUGCUUAGAGAGCACUUUCUUGGAUUAACACCAAACUUGCCUUGCAAACUUCUUUGGCUUGUGGAGCAAGAGAUAAAGAAAAUUUCCAGGUCAGAUAUGGUUCAACAACAUCGACAAUUGACUUGCUGCAGCCUUUUUGCUGCUAUUCCUCUGGUCAAUGAUUUGAGUAAUGAAUAAGUGACAUUCAAUCUGGAUGCACUGCAUCUUGAUUCCACUCCUAGGAAAUUAUUUGUUAGUGCACGCAGAGAAAAUUUUUUGGUAAAACUUAGAUUGUUUGUUGGCCAAUAGAACAUCUUGCUAGACGUGGAGACUAUGAAAAUCCUUUAAAAAUUAUUUUCUUGCUGUGUUAACAGAUCUGAUGAGGCUUAUAGAGCUGUGGAUGAAUCUUCGGGUAAUAAAUUUAUAGCAUGAAAGAUCUGGAAUAAGAGUAUGCGGC
rnacentral:lncRNA from 1 species